UACAGAGGGUGCAAGCGUUGCUCGGAAUUACUGGGCGUAAAGCGCACGUAGGCGGUCUUUUAAGUCGGGGGUGAAAUCCUGGAGCUCAACUCCAGAACUGCCUUCGAUACUGAAAGACUUGAGUCCGGGAGAGGUGAGUGGAACUGCGAGUGUAGAGGUGAAAUUCGUAGAUAUUCGCAAGAACACCAGAGGCGAAGGCGGCAUACUGGACGAUUACUGACACUCAAUUGCGAAAGACGUGGGGAGCAAACAGG
rnacentral:rRNA from 1 species